rnacentral:rRNA from 1 species
ACUUUACAAUGCGGGAAACCGUGAUAAGGGAACUCCGAGUGUCCGUCAAUGCGGACUGUCCGUAUGUUUAAAAAGCAUGCGAAGAAAGGGCCGGGCAAGACCGGUGCCAGCCGCCGCGGUAAUACCGGCGGCUCGAGUGGUGGCCACGAUUACUGGGCUUAAAGCGUUCGUAGCUGGGUUGUUAAGUCUCUUGGGAAAUCUACCGGCUUAACCGAUAGGCGUCCAAGGGAUACUGGCAAUCUAGGGACCGGGAGAGGUGAGGGGUACUUCAGGGGUAGGAGUGAAAUCCUGUAAUCCUUGGGGGACCACCUGUGGCGUAGGCGCCUCACCAGAACGGCUCCGACAGUGAGGGACGAAAGCUGGGGGAGCAAACCGG